rnacentral:rRNA from 1 species
UACGUAGGGUGCAAGCGUUGUCCGGAAUUAUUGGGCGUAAAGAGCUCGUAGGCGGUUUGUCGCGUCUGCUGUGAAAACUCGGGGCUUAACCCCCGGGCCUGCAGUGGGUACGGGCAGACUAGAGUGCGGUAGGGGAGACUGGAAUUCCUGGUGUAGCGGUGAAAUGCGCAGAUAUCAGGAGGAACACCGAUUGCGAAGGCAGCUCGCUGGAACGUUACUGACGCUGAGACGCGAAAGCGUGGGGAGCAAACAGG